CAGAGAUAGACUAUAUUUGUUCUGGUGUUGUUGUUGUCUUGUUUUUUAAACGUAAAACCUUUGUUCGUCUUCUUCUGAUGACGCCGACCGGAGUUCUCCUCUCGCGCAUGUAACUGUCCAUUUAAACCGUUAUUAUUUAAACAUUUCAUUUCUGUUGACCAGCGGUUAUCUCUUCCGUUACCACAACUUUACUCUCAACUUUAGAUAUAAUGUCAACUUCCUGACAGUCAUUUCGGUAUUUAUGUACUGAUUUGUAUUUAUUGUUUUACAUUUCGUUUUUUGUUGAGUUCAUUACCGCGAAGAGGAAACGUUUUGUACACUGUGGAAUGAACAACGGAGAAAGACCGUGCAGAGCCCAUGUAACUAUGUAAAAGAUACCUGAUCAACCACAGGUUGGAAUGAAGAGAGACCUGUUGGAAUCAGAACAUGAUCAUUCAGCAAAGCCAGAGUGCUGACUCUUGCUUUAGUUAAAACCCUCUGGAUAACAAUCCCCGUGGCGUUUCCAAACCGUAAUAGAGAAAUUAUAGGUAUAACAUUAAUACAUUGACAUUACCUACACUUUUGUCUUGAUCAUUUUAUUAUGCCAUAACUCAUAAGAAUAGGUCCUGGUUAGAGGGAAACGAAGAUAAAGUGUAGCAGGUUGGAAUGGGCAAAACAGAGAGAGGAGGAAGGAACACAAUCUGUCCUUCCAAGGUCUCUUGGUCUGAGGGCAGCUGAUCACCACACAUAACAUUCAAGAUAUUGUACAUCCCAAAUGGCACCCUAUUCUCUGUAUAGUGCACUACUUUUGACCAGAGCCCUAUGGUAGUGCACUAAGUAGGGAAUAGAGUGUUAUUUGAGAUGUUACCCUACAGAGAGCCAAAAGUCAGUACUGUAACAGGCUGGUUGAGGAGAAAAACGUUCAUUUUUUUAACCAGCGAUCCAUCAACGUCUAAAUGUGGUGCGUAGCAAAAAGGAAAUCAUUAGAUAGAUAAAUUAAUCCAGGCUGAGACUGGAUGAAUGAAAACAAUAUCUAGCCUAGUACACCAUUUUUCUACAGGUUAACCAAAGGGUAAAGAAUUUACACUGGACCUCUCAGUCUUUCUGACACAGCUCUCUCACUCAGACUGGCUUACAACAGAAUUCCUCUAACAAGAGGAACAUGCCAAACUACAGCCCCAGAUCUAAGAUCAGCUUCUUCUUGCCAUCUCUUAACUGUAACCAAUAAGGGGGAAUGCCAAGCUGAUCUGAGACCAGGGUAUGGGGCCAAGUUCAUGGUAUUCCAGGUCAGGACUCACCCUACUGGGGUUGGUUGGUUGACAUCUUAGCCCUCUCUCUGGUCUGGUUAAAGUGUCCUCUCUCUGGUCUGGUUAAAGUGUCCUCUCUCUGGUCUGGUUAAAG
rnacentral:lncRNA from 1 species